rnacentral:siRNA from 1 species
ACAAAUAAAUUGAGUACCGGACA